AUAAUCUUGGGUAUGGUUAAAAUCUUCACAGCAUAGUCACUUAAAUUCUAAGAUACUCAAAAAAGGUUUGUGUCACUACAUUAGGCAUCAUCCAUGAAAAUCCGUGAGAAAAUACUAGUAAAAAGAUUUGCUUUUCAUGAAUUUUGUCAUGUCUUAUCUCAAAUCAAUUAAUUCAUAUAGAAAAACUCCAAAUUAGCAUAGUCAAAUAAUAAUAUUAAUCUAUAAUGUAUUUCAUAAGAAAUUCUUUAUAAUCCUUAGAUCUGAUUUUGGAAUUCAAAGGUUUAAUACUCAAUGAGAGAAUUCUUAGUGUGAUAAAUACUGAAAUACUAUUUUCAUAAUUAAAAUGAAUGUUGGAAAAUAUAUAAGUUUCUAACACAUUUAACGAGAACCUGCUGUGUACAGAAGCCCAUUGGAUAUAUGCCAUAGGGGAGGCUGGGCAUUUUUCCCAUUUAAAAGAUUCAUAUUCUACUAACAGUAAUAGAAUGAACCUAACUAUAAAACUUUAGUAAAUGAUCAGGGACCUCCACAUACAUACAAAAUGGUUUUUUUAUAAAGAAUAAUUCACUUCACAGAUAUUUUCUUCUUAAUAUUUGUAUCUCAGCUUUUUUGUUUGUAAAAUGUAAAUACAGUAAUAGUAUGGACAGGAACAUUAUAAAAUAUGAAUUAAUGAAAUUCAAGAUAAGAAAUUUUAUCCCCAAAAUGCCAAAGUACUCAAAAAGCACACAGCAAACAUUCAUUCAACCAUAAUUGAAACACUUUUCCAAAUAGUUUGUGACUUAAAAGAACUAAAAUGCCAGGGUAAAAAAAUUUUGAACAUCAUUUUUACAUUCUACAGUAUUCACUAUUCAUUCACACUGUUACAAAGCCCUCACUUAGUCCCUCUCUAGCCAAUAUUGCUCUGCUUCUGUAAUCACAGACUUACCUUUCCUCUGAAGCCUCGCCCUAUCUCAUUAAAUGGAAAAUAAGAUUAUUAACUUCAGAGCUUGUAAGAGAGUUGAGCCUCUUUCACUUCAUUAGCAUUCAUUAGCAGCACCUCCUCCUCCCCUAUGUUCUUACUAUUCCAUGUUUCUUGUUGCCUUUGGUGUGCUCUCUCCUCUGUUUCCUUGGUUUCUAACAGCAGAAGUGGCAUUUAGUGACCUACCCCGGUAUUGACAUUCAGUUACUGCCUCCAUUAAAGAUGGACUAAUUAGAGCGGCCCAUGUGUUGGCCCAGAAGUAAUUAAAGGAAAUGCAAGAAUCAAAGCAGGGCACUGAUUAUCUGAUGCUCUGGAAUAUGAAUUCAGCCUCACAUUUGGAAGUCGAGGUUAUGAUUAUUGACCUCGUUAUACAUUAGUAGUACUUUUAUAUCUGUAGUCAGUGAGUAGAUCCAUUUUAAUCAGUGCCGUGCCUGCAUAUGUGUGUGCAAAUGUGUGCAUGUAUGUUAGAAUGUAUUUGAUUUCUCCUUUGAAAAGAAUUUUAUAUGAGCAAACAUGAGAAGAUUUCAUUAGUGGAAAGUAUCAGCAAUACUGAGAUCAAGGAAAUAUCAGAUUGCUUACCAUCAGACUCAUCUAGUUUAUUAAAACUCUAAAGACUUUAAUUUACAUUAAAGUUCUUUUUACGAAUAGAAAUGCUUAAAAGAGUCCUCCUUGUAAUCCCCCCUACAUAAUUCUCAACUACCCUAUUUCUACACUGACUUAUCCUUUGGAUCAAUUCAUAGAACCUGCCUAGUCGAUGUCUGGGAACAUCCGAGACACCCUUUUAGGUAUCAGUUCACUCAAAGAGAUAGAGAACCCAUACUUGCCCCUCAGAUUUCUUAACUUGCAUUGCGUAACUGUCCGUGUGCUGACUCUGUCCAUCCUAUUGGCCAUCAAAGUGCUAUGAGCCACAUAAUGAAAUGACAUAUACAAAAGAAAUGGUCAAUUAACAUGUGAAAGAUGAGAGUGUGGAAAUUAAAGAAGCCUAAAGAUUAUACUUUUUUUAGGAGGAAAAGGGUAACACUGUAUUAGAGUACUGCUUCUAAAAGUUCAAUUUUCAUAAGACUCAACCUAAGGCGCUUGUUAAAAUGCCUACUCUGAUUCAGUAGGUCUGGCUUGGGGCCAGGGAUUUUUGCAUUUUUAGCAAAGUCCUAGAUGAUCUACAAAUUGUAUUUUGAGCAGCAAGAUGCUAGAUCCUUUGGUGACUUGGUCAAGAUGACCUCCUGUGACUUUGGUAAUAUUUUAAAAUUGGCGUGAUGGUGAUAGCAGUUCUAAGGAAGAAAGACAGAGAUGUGAGGUUUUUUAGGGAAAAAAAAAGUCUUGGGAUCUCUCUUUCCCUCUAAGUCUACAAGCCCUUGGGAAUCCCAGUGCUUCUUCACCUCCCUGAAAGGAAGGCAAACCCCUUCUUUGAAACUCCCUGUGCUCCUCUUUAAUGAUUGUGUCAAAUCACUCCAAGCUCCAUUAGGAUUAUGCACUUUUACGAAAUAUAAUCCUUACUAAGUCAUAAUUUUAUUUUCACAUAAAAGUUUGCUUCUUAGAGUAUAUUCUGUAUCAGGUAGGCUAAUAACAAAAAUAAGUUCUUAAAAUGAUGCAGCUGUAGGCAGAUGUCCUAUGCCCAUGUGUCUAUAGUGUGAGUAUAGCCUCUUCUACUCUUCAGUUCUGGGCAUUUUAAAUUCCCAUUAGUGCGGAGAAUUACUGCUUUCAGUUUAUCAUUAUUUCUUCAAAUAUUAUUUUCUGCCCCCUCAUUUCCUUCUUCUCUCCUUUCCAAGCAUGUAUGUAUGUUAGAACAUCUGACAAUGACCCAAAAGUACCCAAAUUUUUGCCAUUAUUGUUCAAUAAUUUUGGUUCUCUGUCCUUCAGAUUGAAUAGUUUUUAAUGAUCUAUCUUCAUAUUCAUGAAUUUAUUCUUCUGUCCUAUCAACUUCAUUCUGCUAAGCCCAACUAGUGAAUUUCUAAUUCAGACUGGGUUUUUCAGAUAUAGAAACUAUAUUUGGUUCUUUAUACAAUUUAUAUUUCUUUGAUUCAAUGUGAAUAUGUUUUUCUUUACAUCACUGAGAAUAGCUUAACAGCUACUUUAAAAUCCUUUUCUGCUGAUUCCAUCUGGGUCAUAUCACAGUUGGACUCUCUUGAAUGAUUUUUUUCCCCCUCUCUCAAGACUGGUUUACAUUUUCCUGCUUCUUUGUAAUUAUGGUCAUACCCUAGAUGUUGGCAAUGUUAUGUUGUGGAUGCUCAGGAUUCUGGCAAAUUUUUCCAAAAAAAUGUUAAUUUUUUUAUUCAUUCAUAUUAGAAUGCAGUUAAUUUGUAUAGACUCAAACUUCAAACAUCUCUUCAACAUCAGCUUAAAUCUCAUUUCAAUUCUUUAUCCUUAACUGGGCUGCUUACAACCUACCUGAGCAACAAAUGUCAUGAGUCAGCUGAAAACCAGGCAGAAAAAAACAGAGUUUGGGUCUCUUGGUCUCUUUCUCCCUCUCUCUUUCUCCAUCUCCCAGUUCUCACUUUCUGACUGCUAUGUUGCUCUAGUUCCUGUUCUCCAGAAACAGGAGUUACUGGGGUUUGAGCUACCCGUGCAGUAUGAACCUUUCAUUCUAAGAUCUAUAAAAAUGGGAAAAUUACCUGUGACGUUCCCUCCUUUCAAAUGUUGACGCCUUUUCGAAAAUUUUCUGCUUUUGUUUGUCUUCCAGUACCUUCGGGUGGUUGAUUUUUUUUUUUAAUUUCUUCAUUUUUUCUUUUUUUGGUGUUUUGUCCAAAUCAAUAGGAAGUUUGAUCUUUAGGAGCUCACUCAGCCAUACCAAUAGCAGAACUUCAAUUUACUAUACAUUUAGAUCUAUUUAUUAUACGUAUAUAUCCCUAAUAAUAUAAGAAUUUAGACCAGAAUUUGGUGCUCCCAAAAUAAUACAUAAAAUAUCUAGCACUGGCUUAGUGGUUAGAUACAGAUAUUGUAAGUUGAAAGUCCCAACCUAUCCCCCACCGCCACCCCCAGAUACCCAGGGAAAACUGGGUGAGUAAUUUUCAGUCAGUUUCAACCUAUUGCCAGAAUUUUGCCCCUAACUCUGAGCUUUAGACUUCUAUAUCCAACUACAUAACCUGCAUCUCUAUUUCGACAUCUAUCAGGCAUUUCAAAUUCAACUUGCCAAAAAUAAAAUUCUUGAUUACUCUCGUACCAACCUUAAAAUUGCUCCACUCCCAGUAUCCCCUGCUAUUGCAAUGUUCAGCUAAUCCUCUUAGCUGAGACUUUCAAAAUAUACCUGACCCUGCUCUACACUACUCCCAUUUUAAGCCAAACCACUAUCAUCUCUCAACUGAACCACUGAAAUUGCCUCAUAAUAUUCUUGUUGUUUUCACUCUUACAUACCUACAAUCAACUUUCCUUAAAGC
rnacentral:lncRNA from 1 species